rnacentral:rRNA from 1 species
UACGUAGGGUGCAAGCGUUGUCCGGAAUCAUUGGGCGUAAAGCGCGUGUAGGCGGCCCGAUAAGUCCGCUGUGAAAGUCCAGGGCUCAACCCUGGGAUGCCGGUGGAUACUGUCGGGCUCGAGUCCGGAAGAGGCGAGUGGAAUUCCUGGUGGUAGCGGUGAAAUGCGCAGAUAUCAGGAGGAACACCAAUGGCGAAGGCAGCUCGCUGGGACGUGACUGACGCUGAGACGCGAAAGCGUGGGGAGCAAACAGG